AAUUCUUCACUGUCAAAUCCUCCUAUUUUACCAAGGCAGAAAUAGCACCUCAACUUCAUUUGCCACAGGCAUCUAUUGCUUCUAGGAGGCAGCCGCAGUCCACACAAGCGAUAGCACUCCCCGCUGCCUGAGCGACUGAAUGGAACAUAGAAUCUCUGGUGAGGGCGGCCUUCGGAUAAGUCCAGGUCAGCCAAAAGCUAGGCUUCUCUUUCCCCUGAGCUAAGGAGGGUGCGCAUCCUAAGAAACACUCCCACAUACAUUUCCCAGAAUUUUGAUAGAAAAGACCAGCACCAUCUUCGCCUUCCUUCUGUUAUACCAGCCGUUUCCCAGGUCGGCCUCUGUAAUGGACUCGUUGGGGCAUGCUAGCGUGUGGAGGCAAUGAAGUGUGGUUGAAUAGCACAUUAGGAGAAAUUGCUUCUUCUUGCAGAGUGGCUUCCUCCGGCCGGAUUGUCGCGGGGUAUUCCACAGUUUUGUCACAUAGAGAAGGCGAGACUGCUUCUGCUGAUCAAGGAUGCGUGGCCAGGCUCCAGAAUUCGGCCAUGUUGAGUCAGUUGGAUGUUCCCAAGUGUCCCAUUCUCGCCAUCAGCUCCCCAUUCUUUCCUGGUCAAUAAUCUGGCUUUGAUUUUUUUUUAUUUCCACUCUUCUCUGCAAAGGAUAUUACAGAAUGGUAACACAGGCUCUGUGCUUUAGAUCAGAAGAG